GAUGAACGCUGGCGGCGUGCCUAACACAUGCAAGUCGAGCGCGUCUGAUUUGAUGCUUGCAUUAAUGAAAGAUGAGCGGCGGGCGGGUGAGUAACGCGUGGGUAACCUGCCCUAUACACAUGGAUAACAUACUGAAAAGUUUACUAAUACAUGAUAAUAUAUAUUUACGGCAUCGUAGAUAUAUCAAAGUGUUAGCGGUAUAGGAUGGACCCGCGUCUGAUUAGCUAGUUGGUGAGAUAACUGCCCACCAAGGCGACGAUCAGUAGCCGACCUGAGAGGGUGAUCGGCCACAUUGGAACUGAGACACGGUCCAAACUCCUACGGGAGGCAGCAGUGGGGAAUAUUGCACAAUGGGCGCAAGCCUGAUGCAGCAACGCCGCGUGAACGAUGAAGGUCUUCGGAUCGUAAAGUUCUGUUGCAGGGGAAGAUAAUGACGGUACCCUGUGAGGAAGCCCCGGCUAACUACGUGCCAGCAGCCGCGGUAAUACGUAGGGGGCUAGCGUUAUCCGGAUUUACUGGGCGUAAAGGGUGCGUAGGUGGUCUUUCAAGUCGGUGGUUAAAGGCUACGGCUCAACCGUAGUUAGCCUCCGAAACUGGAAGACUUGAGUGCAGGAGAGGAAAGUGGAAUUCCCAGUGUAGCGGUGAAAUGCGUAGAUAUUGGGAGGAACACCAGUAGCGAAGGCGGCUUUCUGGACUGCAACUGACACUGAGGCACGAAAGCGUGGGUAGCAAACAGGAUUAGAUACCCUGGUAGUCCACGCUGUAAACGAUGAGUACUAGGUGUCGGGGGUUACCCCCCUCGGUGCCGCAGCUAACGCAUUAAGUACUCCGCCUGGGGAGUACGCACGC
rnacentral:rRNA from 1 species